AAGUCGUAACAAGGUUUCCGUAGGUGAACCUGCGGAAGGAUCAUUAAUUAUAUGUAAUUAUUAUGAUUAUAUUUAAUUAGCCACAUAAUUGUUAUUAUUAAUAUAUAUUUAUAUAUAUUAAUAUUAACAGUUUAAUGGCAUCCUUUAAUGAUUUAGUUUUGAUUAUAUUUUAUAUAGUCGAAACUGUUAAUUCAGGGUUAAAAUCCUGAAUCAAAACUAAUGUUAAAAUUUAAUUUUACCAAAAAUUAUAUUCGAUUUAUUAAUUAAUUUUUAAUUAACUUAAUAACUAAUAACAAUGGAUCUCUUGGCACU
rnacentral:misc_RNA from 1 species